GUCCACGCCCUAAACGAUGCUAACUAGGUGUUGGGGAAGCGAUUCCUUGGUACCGAAGCUAACGCGUGAAGUGAGCCGCCUGGGGAGUACGGCCGCAAGGUUAAAACUCAAAGGAAUUGACGGGGACCCGCACAAGCGGUGGAUGAUGUGGAUUAAUUCGAUGCAACGCGAACAACCUUACCUACCCUUGACAUGUCUGGAAGGCCCCUGAGAGGGGGCUGUGCCUGAAAGGGAACCGGAACACAGGUGCUGCAUGGCUGUCGU
rnacentral:rRNA from 1 species